rnacentral:lncRNA from 1 species
AUUCAGUUCCUUUCCAACCCAACAGUUUGCAUAAAGGCUUGUAUACAGAAUUAAGGCUGAAAACUCAAAUUCAACACCCGAGUGACAAGCGCAAAAUGAAGGUGUAAUCAGAACUAAAUCAGUGUUUAUACUAAUGCUCUGGCUAGGGCAGCUGAAUAGAAAAUAAGGCAAAGUUGAGAAAGCAUACUUCCUGAGGGUAAGCGUUAAGGAACAUUAUAGACAAAAUGAUAGGAAAAGUUUGAAGGAGAGAUCAUUUCCUACAUGGAAAGAAAAAAGGACAAGAAUCAAGGAAAACUUCAAUAGGAAGGAGAGAGCUAAAGACUCAUAUUGAAGGGACAGAGAUAUAUUCAGAUGACACUUUCUGGGAAAUCACCAGGGAACACCAGAGACAACAUUGACGAGGACUGGCAGGUCAAGAGCUGUUCUUAGGUAGACAGAACAGAGAAUUGGAGAGAAAGUAGACCUAGAACGUUGAUUCUUCCCUAAGUGCAGAGGAAG